CUGACAAGUCAAUUCUCAACUCUCAUCUCAUUAGAGUCUCAGUUUUGAAGAAAAGCAAAAAAGAGAGAGACUACGUUUCUUCAUUGCAGUUUUCACACAAAUCAUUCAUAAUUCAAGGGUUUUCUUCUUCUUGAGAUUACAGAGAUCAGAGAGAUUAUGGGGGUUUCGGAAAACUCGACGGGUUUGGCUUUGGCGUUGGGUUCGAGUGCAUUCAUUGGUGCUAGCUUCAUCCUCAAGAAGAAGGGUCUCAAGCGUGCUGCUGCCACCGGCACUCGUGCAGGUGUUGGUGGUUAUACUUAUUUACUAGAGCCACUUUGGUGGGCUGGCAUGGUUUCAAUGAUUGUUGGGGAGGUAGCAAACUUUGUGGCUUAUAUUUAUGCUCCGGCAAUACUGGUUACGCCGCUUGGCGCGAUCAGUAUUAUUGUCAGUGCUGUUUUGGCUCACUUCUUGCUGAAUGAGCGGCUUCAGACGAUGGGGGUCUUAGGAUGUCUGUCCUGCAUUGUGGGAUCAAUUGUCAUUGUCAUCCAUGCUCCUCAAGAGCAAACUCCGACUUCUGUCCAAGAAAUAUGGGAUUUGGCCACUCAACCAGCAUUCCUAUUUUAUGCCGUGGCAACAAUUUCUUUAGUUUUGGCUUUGAUUUUACACUUCGAGCCUCGCUAUGGACAGUCUAAUAUGCUGGUUUACUUGGGAAUUUGUUCAUUAAUGGGCUCAUUUACGGUUGUGAGCAUCAAGGCCAUUGGUAUUGCAAUAAAGCUAACACUUGAUGGAAUUAACCAAAUAGCUUAUCCUCAGACUUGGUUUUUUCUCACAGUUUCAGCAAUAUGUGUUAUCACACAGCUGAAUUACCUUAACAGGGCACUGGAUACAUUCAAUGCAGCUAUUGUUUCCCCUGUAUAUUAUGUUAUGUUCACAACUCUCACCAUUAUUGCCAGUGCAAUAAUGUUUAAGACCAUGAUGUGAUGUGAUGAGCUUCAGUACUCACUUUCAUGGAGCUUCCAUGCAGGAUUGGUCUGGUCAGGAUGCUACCAGCAUAGCGUCUGAGAUAUGUGGCUUCAUCACCAUUCUUUCAGGAACAAUGAUAUUGCAUAUUACCAGAAAACAGGAAGAGUCCGAUAUGCAAAGGACCUUAAAAUUCUACGUUGGCGAGGAUUCAAUGAAGGGCCUUGAGGAUGAACACCUGAUCCUUAUACAUGGUUCGGAUUUUCGGGAACAGUGACUUUUCCUGUGAGGUUGAUGUAUGGAGCAAGUUCUAUGAAUCAGCAAUGGAAUAACAAUUUGGACACAGCCCAGCUCAUGAUACGAUGCAUUUUGCAGCGAGCAUUGCAUUCAUGUCUUUGAUCUUGGAGCUUGAAUUCAAGCAUCCCGGAGUGCUAAAGUUUUCUGACCAUUUCUCCACCCUCCUUGGAGUGAUCUCAAAAUGUCUAAUGCGGUGCAGUUCAACGGCCGAAAUGGGGAUUGCUAACUCGUCUCAAAAAGUUUCAGAUUUUUGAAGUGAUAUCAUGCUAUGUGAUAUAAUGUCCAUAGUAGCCUGUGUAAUUUUCCCUUUCACAAUUUUGGUGGUAGGUCAGCACUUGUUUAUGUAUAUAUUUUUAUAUUUUUUUCAAUUGAUUAUUGAAUUAUGUUGAUAAUUUUCCUUGGUGGUGGCAAAUAAUAGUAUCAGUUUGUUUCGUUGAAA